CCCUUAGAUGUCCUGGGCCGCACGCGCGCUACACUGAUGCAUGCAACGAGUUUAUAACCUUGGCCUGAAAGGUCUGGGUAAUCUUUUGAACGUGCAUCGUGAUAGGGAUAGAUUAUUGCAAUUGUUAAUCUUGAACGAGGAAUUCCUAGUAAACGCGAGUCAUCAGCUCGCAUUGAUUACGUCCCUGCCCUUUGUACACACCGCCCGUCGACUCUACCGAUUGAAUGGUUCGGUGAAAACUUUGGACUGUGGCAUUGUCCUUCAUUGGACUUCGCCGUAGGAAAUUGUUUAAACCUCAUCAUUUAGAGGAAGAAUAAGUCGUAACA
rnacentral:rRNA from 1 species